rnacentral:rRNA from 1 species
AGAGUUUGAUCCUGGCUCAGAUUGAACGCUGGCGGCAUGCCUAACACAUGCAAGUCGAACGGCAGCACAGUAGAGCUUGCUCUAUGGGUGGCGAGUGGCGGACGGGUGAGUAAUGCAUCGGGAUCUACCCAAACGUGGGGGAUAACGUAGGGAACUUACGCUAAUACCGCAUACGUCUUACGAGAGAAAGCAGGGGACCU